AGGCAGCAGUGGGGAAUAUUGCACAAUGGGCGCAAGCCUGAUGCAGCCAUGCCGCGUGUAUGAAGAAGGCCUUCGGGUUGUAAAGUACUUUCAGCAGUGACGGAAGGUGGGUAUGUUAAUAGCAUAUUCAUUUGACGUUAGCUGCAGAAGAAGCACCGGCUAACUCCGUGCCAGCAGCCGCGGUAAUACGGAGGGUGCGAGCGUUAAUCGGAAUUACUGGGCGUAAAGCGCAUGCAGGUGGUUUGUUAAGUCAGAUGUGAAAGCCCGGGGCUCAACCUCGGAAUUGCAUUUGAAACUGGCAAACUAGAGUACUGUAGAGGGGGGUAGAAUUUCAGGUGUAGCGGUGAAAUGCGUAGAGAUCUGAAGGAAUACCGGUGGCGAAGGCGGCCCCCCUGGACAGAUACUGACACUCAGAUGCGAAAGCGUGGGGAGCAAACAGGAUUAGAUACCCCCGGUAG
rnacentral:rRNA from 1 species